rnacentral:rRNA from 1 species
CCUACGGGAGGCAGCAGUGGGGAAUAUUGGACAAUGGGCGCAAGCCUGAUCCAGCAAUGCCGCGUGGAUGAAGAAGGUUUUCGGAUUGUAAAGUCCUUUCGGGGACGAUGCGGUACCGCAGAAGAAGCCCCGGCUAACUUCGUGCCAGCAGCCGCGGUAAUACGAAGGGGGCUAGCGUUGCUCGGAAUGACUGGGCGUAAAGGGCGCGUAGGCGGAUUGAUCAGUCAGACGUGAAAUUCCUGGGCUCAACCUGGGGGCUGCGUUUGAGACGGUUAGUCUAGAGUUUGGAAGAGGGUCGUGGAAUUCCCAGUGUAGAGGUGAAAUUCGUAGAUAUUGGGAAGAACACCGGUGGCGAAGGCGGCGACCUGGUCUUACUGACGCUGAGGCGCGAAAGCGUGGGGAGCAAACAGGAUUAGAUACCCUUGUAGUC